rnacentral:rRNA from 1 species
GAGUUUGAUCAUGGCUCAGAACAAACGCUGGCGGCGUGCCUAACACAUGCAAGUCGUACGAGAAAGUCGGCUUCGGCCGAUGAGUACAGUGGCGCACGGGUGAGUAACGCGUGGGUAAUCUACCCCUCGGUCAGGAAUAACCCGCCGAAAGGCGGGCUAAUACCCGAUAACACUGACGCUCUGCGGAGUGUCUUUCAAAGAAGGCCUCUGUUUACAAGCUUUCGCCGGAGGAUGAGCCCGCGUACCAUUAGCUAGUUGGCAGGGUAAUGGCCUACCAAGGCAACGAUGGUUAGCUGGUCUGAGAGGAUGGCCAGCCACACUGGAACUGAGACACGGUCCAGACUCCUACGGGAGGCAGCAGUGAGGAAUCUUGCGCAAUGGGGGAAACCCUGACGCAGCAACGCCGCGUGAGUGAGGAAGGCCUUCGGGUCGUAAAGCUCUGUCAGAUGGGAAGAAAUGGGGUGGGGGCUAAUAUCGUCCACCCUUGACGGUACCAUCAGAGGAAGCACCGGCUAACUCCGUGCCAGCAGCCGCGGUAAUACGGGGGGUGCAAGCGUUGUUCGGAAUCAUUGGGCGUAAAGCGCGCGCAGGCGGCUUGGUAAGUCAGAUGUGAAAUCCCUGGGCUUAACCCAGGAAGUGCAUUUGAUACUGCCUCGCUAGAGUA